UUAUUCAUCUGGAAUUUCUGUUAGAACUCUACGUCACUCUGGGGGAAAAAACAACUUCCUAUAUUUAGACUCUCAUCCUCAUUUUACUUCAACAUUUCACUGACAGAGCUCCUCCAACACUCGCCGUCAACCGUUUUUAUUGUCAACAUCAACAACUCCACCCUCACGGACUGCGUCAUCGGGGACAGCUUCCCAUGCGCGCCGCCUGAACGGUGCCCUCUGAUGCAGGAGCCUCAGCUCCAGAAGCCCGGUCAGCCGAGGUGCAGCUGCUGCUARGGUCAGCAGGGGACCACAGAGACCCCGCCUCCGGCGCUUCCCCACCCUCACGGACAGCGUCUAAACAUCAGCAUCCACGGCUCGCGCCUCAACUACGUCAUCAUCGGAGACAACAACCGCAUGCACAUGGAGCUGAGUGAGCUCGACUGAAACAAGGCGGUGGAGCUGUGUGUGUGGCAGGAUCCCAGCACAAACAGUUUCACUUCUCCAUUUUGUUGUUCCCAUUUUUACGAUUCGGUUCAGAGCCAAGGAAAUGCUGGUUCAUUUCACGUGGAUUUGUCAACCCGUUGAUUUUUUUUUUUUUUUACCUUCUGACAUCCUUGCUUCUGCUCUGAUCUCAUGACARGACUUCUAUGAAACUGUCAUUACAGCGUUGUAAAAAAA